ensembl:lncRNA
GCCGCUCUUUCAGCACAAGAGUGGGGCAGUCCUUCUUCUGCGUUGAGUGCAUCUGCCAUAUUCUUGUCUGUGUUCACAAACGUGAUAUGUGACUGUGUGCAUUUGUUCUCAAUCUUGGUUUUUCUUUCAGCACUGAACGUGAAUUCUUUACUCAUCAGAUACGCAGCGACACCAUGAUGGGUGUGGAUCUCCAAUGGAUGACAUCACGAGGAGUGCAAAAGCUGUUGAUGCUUCAGCCGUCCAGGCCAGGGGUGCAUGGAGGUUCCUUGGUCCUGCUCCAUGCACUAUUUCCCUCAGUGGUUCAGUUCUGGCUGUAUAGUCGGGGAUGUGUGUGCGGCUGUAGCCUGUCAGUCCAAGGAAUGACAACAUUCCUGACACAGUAAUGGGGCGUCUGUGGGAUUUGGAGAGUCCUGCUCCGUCUCCUGAGAUUUCCCUUCGCAGGAAGAUGACUGUUCUUCUACAGGUGAACGCAAAGAUGGGUUGGGAUGCUUCAUCCAGGGGAAUGCUGAAGAAAGCAUUCGCCAGGUCAAUCACAGUGAAGUACUGAUGCAUGGGCGACAGGUUGCUGAGCGUGAUGUGUGGGUCAGGGACAGGUA